GUGGGGAAUAUUGGACAAUGGGGGAAACCCUGACCCAGCAACGCCGCGUGAGGGAAGAAGGUUUUCGGAUUGUAAACCUCUGUCCUUGGUGACGAAGGAAGUGACGGUAACCAAGGAGGAAGCCCCGGCUAACUACGUGCCAGCAGCCGCGGUAAUACGUAGGGGGCAAGCGUUGUCCGGAAUGACUGGGCGUAAAGGGCGUGUAGGCGGCCGAUUAAGUCUGGAGUGAAAGUCCUGCUUUCAAGGUGGGAAUUGCUUUGGAGACUGGUUGGCUUGAGUGCGGAAGAGGUAAGUGGAAUUCCCAGUGUAGCGGUGAAAUGCGUAGAGAUUGGGAGGAACACCAGUGGCGAAGGCGACUUACUGGGCCGUAACUGACGCUGAGGCGCGAAAGCGUGGGGAGCGAACAGGAUUAGAAACCCCUGUAGUCC
rnacentral:rRNA from 1 species